AUUGAACGCUGGCGGCAUGCUUUACACAUGCAAGUCGAACGAGAACGGAUUAUAGCUUGCUAUAAUUGUCAGCUAAGUGGCGCACGGGUGAGUAAUGUAUAGAUAACCUGCCCUUAAGAAAGGAAUAACAGUUGGAAACGACUGCUAAUGCCCUAUAUGCCUUUAAUACAUAAGUAUGCAAGGGAAACGCUUUAGUGCUUAAGGAUGGGUCUGUAUGGUAUCAGCUUGUUGGUGAGGUAAUGGCUCACCAAGGCUAUGACGCCUAACUGGUUUGAGAGGAUGAUCAGUCACACUGGAACUGAGACACGGUCCAGACUCCUACGGGAGGCAGCAGUGGGGAAUAUUGCACAAUGGACGAAAGUCUGAUGCAGCAACGCCGCGUGGAGGAUGACACAUUUCGGUGCGUAAACUCCUUUUAUAUAGGAAGAUAAUGACGGUACUAUAUGAAUAAGCACCGGCUAACUCCGUGCCAGCAGCCGCGGUAAUACGGAGGGUGCAAGCGUUACUCGGAAUCACUGGGCGUAAAGAGCGUGUAGGCGGGUAUAUAAGUCAGAAGUGAAAUCCAAUAGCUCAACUAUUGAACUGCUUUUGAAACUGUAUACCUAGAAUGUGGGAGAGGUAGAUGGAAUUUCUGGUGUAAGGGGUAAAAUCCGUAGAGAUCAGAAGGAAUACCGAUUGCGAAGCGAUCUACUGGAACAUUAUUGACGCUGAGACGCGAAAGCGUGGGGAGCAAACA
rnacentral:rRNA from 1 species